rnacentral:rRNA from 1 species
CGUGUGGUUCUAUUUUGUUGGUUUCUAGGACCGCCGUAAUGAUUAAUAGGGAUGGUCGGGGGCGUCAGUAUUCGGCUGUCAGAGGUGAAAUUCUUGGAUUUGCCGAAGACUAACUACUGCGAAAGCAUUCGCCAAGGAUGUUUUCAUUAAUCAGUGAACGAAAGUUAGGGGAUCGAAGACGAUCAGAUACCGUCGUAGUCUUAACCAUAAACUAUGCCGACUAGGGAUCGGACGGUGUUUUUAUUAUGACCCGUUCGGCACCUUACGAGAAAUCAAAGUUUUUGGGUUCUGGGGGGAGUAUGGUCGCAAGGCUGAAACUUAAAGAAAUUGACGGAAGGGCACCACCAGGCGUGGAGCCUGCGGCUUAAUUCGACUCAACACGGGGAAACU